UACGGAGGGUGCGGGCGUUAAUCGGAACUACUGGGCGUAAAGCGCGCGUAGGCGGUUUGUUAAGUCGGAUGUGAAAUCCCCGGGCUCAACCUGGGAAUGGCAUUCGAUACUGGCCGGCUAGAGUACGAGAGAGGGAGGUAGAAUUCCACGUGUAGCGGUGAAAUGCGUAGAUAUGUGGAGGAAUACCGGUGGCGAAGGCGGCCUCCUGGCUCGAUACUGACGCUGAGGUGCGAAAGCGUGGGUAGCAAACAGG
rnacentral:rRNA from 1 species